rnacentral:snRNA from 1 species
GGAUGUGAGGGCAAUCUGGCUGCGACAUCUGUCACCCCAUUGAUCACCUGGGUUGAUUUGGCUGAUCUGGCUGGCUAGGCGGGUGUCCCCUUCCUCCCUCACCGCUCCCUGUGCAUCCCUCCUGAAGCUGCGCACUCAGUCCAAGAGGACGACCUUCCCCAAUAGAGGAGGACUGUUCUUGUUCUUUGGUCAAGGGUAUACAAGCGGCUGCGUUCCCCUGCUAGAAACUCCAAACAAGCUCUCACGGUGUUCAGAGUAUAGGUUAAGAUUUAUUUGUUAACUUAUU